UCUGGCUGCGAGACCCAGCGUGGCUCUGAUUCCGGCGCCUGCGUGUCAGUCGCGCAGCGUGACCGGGGAAGCUGGCUCCGCGUCGCGGUUGCCCGUGAUGGGCCUUGAAGGAAGAUGCUUUGAAGUAGAUCGGAGCCGAGAAAGCUCCUGAGAGAAACGUGCACCCCUUGAGGCUCUGUGCGUAGCUGGCGCCCUGAGAAUGUCACCUUUUCCGGAAGAUGCAACCCUGUACCCUUGAAAGUAGAAAACCUUGUUGGAGUCUACAAACCGUAAAGCAGGAUGUGGGCACCGUGAAAAAAACAAGAGACCCCAUUCAAGACUUUCUUGGGCCCAAACCUCGUUCUGCGGACCAACAAAGAAUGCAUGGUUAUGAUCUGUAAA